GCCUGGCUGGCUCAGUUGGAGGAGUGUGGGACUCUUGAUCUCAAGGUUGUGAGUUCAAGCCCCACGUGGGUA
rnacentral:tRNA from 1 species